CCUACGGGAGGCUGCAGUGGGGAAUAUUUGGCAAUGGGCGCAAGCCUGACCCAGCAACGCCGCGUGAAGGAAGAAGGCUUUCGGGUUGUACACUUCUUUUCUCAGGGACGAAGCAAGUGACGGUACCCGAGGAAUAAGCCACGGCUAACUACGUGCCAGCAGCCGCGGUAAUACGUAGGUGGCAAGCGUUAUCCGGAUUUACUGGGUGUAAAGGGCGUGUAGGCGGGACGGCAAGUCAGAUGUGAAAACCAUGGGCUCAACCUAUGGCCUGCAUUUGAAACUGUAGUUCUUGAGUACUGGAGAGGCAGACGGAAUUCCUAGUGUAGCGGUGAAAUGCGUAGAUAUUAGGAGGAACACCAGUGGCGAAGGCGGUCUGCUGGACAGCAACUGACGCUGAGGCGCGAAAGCGUGGGGAGCAAACAGGAUUAGAUACCCUAGUAGUC
rnacentral:rRNA from 1 species